GAUUGAUCUGCGGUUUUUUCCAACAUUUAGUUUACAGUUUGUAGAUGAAUUUAGACUAUAAUUUUGUUUAUUUUGGUAUUAUAUUCACUGAGUUACAAUUCUUCAAAGUAGAGCUAUCAAAGCUGAAAAAAUUCAGCUUUUCAGCAAGAUUUUGUAAUCUAUGACGUUUUUUAAACACCCAUAACUCAUUCGUUUUAAGUCGGAUUGACCUGCGGUUUUUUCCAACAUUUAGUAUACAGUUUUUAGAUGAAUUUAGACUAUAAUUUUGUUUAUUUUGGUAUUAUAUUCACUGAUUUACAAUCCUUCAAAGUAGAGCUAUCAAAGCUGAAAAAAUUCAGCUUUUCAGCAAGAUUUUGUAAUUUGUGCGUUUUUUAAACACUCAUAACUCAUUCAUUUAAAGUCGGAUUGACCUCCGGUUUUUUCCAACAUUUA
rnacentral:lncRNA from 1 species